GGCGGUUCUCCGGUGAUGCACCCUGAAAUUGGGCUCCCUCCUCUCUGGUUCUGGGUGUCUCUGUUUCGGGUAUGUCACCGGAGAACUGAGCA
rfam:Myotis brandtii contig240300, whole genome shotgun sequence.